rnacentral:rRNA from 1 species
UACGAAGGGGGGCUAGCGUUGUUCGGAAUUACUGGGCGUAAAGCGUGCGCAGGCGGUUCGUUGUGUCGGCGGUGAAAGCCCCGGGCUUAACCUGGGAAUGGCCGUUGAAACUGGCGAACUGGAGUGUGGCAGAGGGGGGUGGAAUUCCGCGUGUAGCAGUGAAAUGCGUAGAGAUGCGGAGGAACACCGAUGGCGAAGGCAGCCCCCUGGGCUAACACUGACGCUCAGGCACGAAAGCGUGGGGAGCAAACAGG